rnacentral:rRNA from 1 species
AUGCUGGGCGGGGCGGUGACGCAGGGGUGCUGCGCGCGGCUGCGAGCCCAGCGGGCGUGCCUGUGCCAGUACGCGCGCGACCCGUCGUACCGCGGCUACGUCAACAGCCAGGGCGCAGAGCGUCGUCGCCGCCUGCGGCCUCCCCAGGCCCAAGUGCUGAUCGCCCGCGCUCGCUAUAUGUGGCCGGCUUUGUGCACGAUGCCGGGCACCGGUGGAAGGCGGUCUACGGUGGUUAAUUAUACGGUUGACGACGCCAUCGAGCUGCCGUGCGUGUGUGUGCGGUUGAAUGGUGGACGUCUAAAUAAACGUGGUUUGCUCCAAGCUGCACAGGCUUAUAUACGUGCGUGCGUUGUGGCAGCUGGUUGUGUACGUUCUCAUGUUUCAUACUACUACCGCCUAUGA